CGGAGAACCAUUGCCUCUGAAUUAAAAGAUCUUGGCCUCAGUUGGGGACAUGCACAGUACCUUGCCCGCAACCGUCGAGAAUGGAGACGAACUAUACUGUCCUUAUGUCACACCAGGGAUGAUGAGGCCUAACCUCCAGGCAUACAGGAAUGGAUUGACUGCAGCAUUUAGAUUGAUGAGCAUUCCCAUGACAUAGUAGCACAAUACUAAAAUAUGGAACUGCGAGCGGCAUGGAGCGCAUGCGUAGAAAACAACUUGAGUCAAAGUCCACGGGACGAAACAAGUCUUAAAGACAGUCAGCACUGUCAAGAUCGCUCGGGUCACCUUUCGCUCGCGCUCGAGGACCAAUCGGACAGUCGUCGCCGAAGAUUUGAAUCUCUGAACUCGCUUUGCUUGUCGGUGAACAAAGAACAAUAUGAAGGAAUAAAAUACUUGGAUUAUGAGUAUAACCAGCAUUAUUUGUAUAGUGAAACCAGGCCUAGAGCAUAUCGGGCGCUUAGGAACCCCACCAUUAAUGCAAAAGCCACGGAGUAAAGCCAUAUCCCGACGGCUGCGAGUUUAGCGCGUCGUGGUGUCAUUAUAGUCGAGUACUUAUUUGGACGCGCGACAGCCAUCAGUCAAUCAACACAAAGACCAAGAAUUUGCAACACAGAGCUUGUUACGAGCCAGAAGCACAACCCAUUAUAUGCGUGCUCUAGAUUAUAGACUACAUUAUUUCCGAAAAAGUGACCGGCAGCGGACACGGGGCUGUAGACUAGUCCUAUUAGAAAGGUCACUGGCGGCCACGCUACAUAUCAGUGGGUUUUUUGGCAAGUGCCUAAGAUGUCUCAAAGGGUCUCUCACCGCAGCCGCUAUGACGAAUGUGUCUCCCACGAUGUUGAACGGCGCAAUGACGAUUAUAAGAAUCCCUUACACAAAAUUCAAUGACGGAUAAUGUUUGUUGAAGGUAACACGAGCGAUUACUGCUCCGUGUGUGCUGCUUUCGUCCCAUAAACUAAAGUUUUUUGUUAAUAGCCUCCAUCUUGAUGAUAACAAUUCACGUGAGGUUCAGUCGAAGUUUUGUUAUUAGAAUCGAAUGCGUAAUAUGGUUUCUUUAACCUUG